AGCAGCCGCGGUAAUUCCAGCUCCAAUAGCGUAUAUUAAAGUUGUUGCAGUUAAAAAGCUCGUAGUUGAAUUUCGGAGUUCUACCGUCGGUCGGGCUACCAAGUCUGUACUGGUGUGUAGAAUUCCUACCUUCUGGGGAACUAUCAUGUUAUUAAUUUAGCGUGGUGGGAAACCAGGACCUUUACCUUGAAAAAAUUAGAGUGUUCAAAGCAGGCAUAUGUCUGAAUACAUUAGCAUGGAAUAAUAGGAUAGGACGGCGGUCCUGUUUUGUUGGUUUCUGAAUCACCGUAAUGAUUAAUAGGGAUAGUUGGGGGCAUUAGUAUUCAAUUGUCAGAGGUGAAAUUCUUGGAUUUAUUGAAGACUAACUUCUGCGAAAGCAUUUGCCAAGGAUGUUUUCAUUAAUCAAGAACGAAAGUUAGGGGAUCGAAGACGAUCAGAUACCGUCGUAGUCUUAACCAUAAACUAUGCCGACUAGGGAUCGGACGAUGUUAAAUUUUAUUGACUCGUUCGCGCCUUACGG
rnacentral:misc_RNA from 1 species